rnacentral:rRNA from 1 species
CCAUGCNAGUCGAACGGUCUCUUCGGAGAUAGUGGCGGACGGGUGAGUAANGNGNNGAGGAUUUGCCCUUAGAUGGGGGACAACAGUUGGAAACGUACUGCUAAUACCGCAUAAGCCGAGAGGUAAAAGAUUAAUUGUCUAGGGAUGAACUCGCGUCUGAUUAGCUAGUUGGUGAGGUAAGGGCUUACCAAGGCGACGAUCAGUAGCUGGUCUGAGAGGAUGAUCAGCCACACUGGGACUGAGACACGGCCCAGACUCCUACGGGAGGCAGCAGUGGGGAAUUUUCCGCAAUGGGCGCAAGCCUGACGGAGCAACGCCGCGUGCGGGAGGAAGGCCCUUGGGUUGUAAACCGCUUUUGUCAGGGAAGAAGCUCUGACGGUACCUGACGAAUCAGCAUCGGCUAACUCCGUGCCAGCAGCCGCGGUAAUACGGAGGAUGCAAGCGUUAUCCGGAAUCAUUGGGCGUAAAGCGUCCGCAGGUGGUUAAACAAGUCUGCAGUCAAAGCGUGGGGCUUAACUCCAUAUCGGCUGUGGAAACUGUUUGACUAGAGUACGGUAGGGGUCGCGGGAAUUCCCAGUGUAGCGGUGAAAUGCGUAGAUAUUGGGAGGAACACCAGCAGCGAAGGCGCGCGACUGGGCCGUAACUGACACUGAGGGACGAAAGCCAGGGGAGCGAAAGGGAUUAGAUACCCCUGUAGUCCUGGCUGUAAACGAUGGAUACUAGGUGUUGCACGUAUCGACCCGUGCAGUGCCGUANCUAACGCGUUAAGUAUCCCGCCUGGGGAGUACGCACGCAAGUGUGAAACUCAAAGGAAUUGACGGGGGCCCGCACAAGCGGUGGAGUAUGUGGU